rnacentral:misc_RNA from 1 species
UGUUUCCUCAGGAUCACCUA